AUACUUGCCUGGCAGGGAAGAUACCAUGAUCACGAAGGUGGAAUUCCCAGGGUGAGGCUUAGCCAUUGCACUCCAGAUAUGCUGACCCCUGUGAUUUAUCCAAAUGUGGAAAACUUGACUGCAUAGUUUAUUGUAGUGGGGGAGUACAUUCAUAUCCCUCCCCC